rnacentral:rRNA from 1 species
GCAGUAGCCGCGGUAAUACAGAGGAUGCAAGCGUUAUCCGGAAUGAUUGGGCGUAAAGCGUCUGUAGGUGGCUUUUCAAGUCCGCCGUCAAAUCCCAGGGCUCAACCCUGGACAGGCGGUGGAAACUACCAAGCUGGAGUACGGUAGGGGCAGAGGGAAUUUCCGGUGGAGCGGUGAAAUGCGUAGAGAUGUGGAGGAACACCAGUGGCGAAGGCGACUCUCUGGUCUGUAACUGACGCUGAGGAGCGAAAGCGUGGGGAGCGAACAGGAUUAGAUACCCCGGUAGUCCCUGUCUCUUAUAC